GACGAACGUUGGCGGAGUGCCUUACACAUGCAAGUCGUACGCGAGAGGGGAAACCCAGCUUGCUGGGGACCCCGAGUAGAGUGGCGAACGGGAGCGUAACACGUGAGGAACCUGCCUCGGAGUGGGGAAUAACCCAGAGAAAUCUGGGCUAAUUCCGCAUGAUGCAGCGGCCCCGCAUGGGGACAGUUGUUAAAGACCGCCUCUGCUUGCAAGCGGUCGCUUCGAGAUGGUCUCGCGGCCUAUCAGCUAGUUGGCGGGGUAAUGGCCUACCAAGGCGACGACGGGUAGCCGGCCUGAGAGGGUGUCCGGCCUCAUUGGGACUGAGACACGGCCCAGACUCCUACGGGAGGCAGCAGUGAGGAAUCUUGCGCAAUGGGCGAAAGCCUGACGCAGCGACGCCGCGUGAGGGAUGAAGGCC
rnacentral:rRNA from 1 species